rnacentral:rRNA from 1 species
CUAACUCCGUGCCAGCAGCCGCGGUAAUACGGAGGGUGCGAGCGUUAAUCGGAAUUACUGGGCGUAAAGCGCAUGCAGGUGGUUUGUUAAGUCAGAUGUGAAAGCCCGGGGCUCAACCUCGGAAUUGCAUUUGAAACUGGCAGACUAGAGUACUGUAGAGGGGGUAGAAUUUCAGGUGUAGCGGUGAAAUGCGUAGAGAUCUGAAGGAAUACCGGUGGCGAAGGCGGCCCCCUGGACAGAUACUGACACUCAGGUAUGCGAAAGCGUGGGGAGCAAACAGGAUUAGAUACCCCUGGUAG